rnacentral:misc_RNA from 1 species
GAUGAAGAACGCAGCGAAAUGCGAUAAGUAAUGUGAAUUGCUGAAUUCAGUGAAUCAUCGAAUCUUUGAACGCACCUUGCGCUCCUUGGUAUUCCGAGGAGCAUGCCUGUUUGAGUGUCAUUAAUAUAUCAACCUCUUCAGCUUAUGCUUGUUGAGUGUUGGAUGGUGGGGGUUUGCUGGUGUCUUAUGAAGUCAGCUCCUCUGAAAUGCAUUAGCGGAACAAUUUGUUGACCGUUCAUUGGUGUGAUAAAAAUAUCUACGCUAUUGACGUCAGUCAGUUCAGCUUCUAACAGUCCAUUGACUUGGACAAAUUUUUCAUUAAUGUGACCUCAAAUCAGGUAGGACUACCCGCUGAACUUAAGCAUAUCAAUAAGCGGAGGA